rnacentral:tRNA from 1 species
AAGGAUUUAAGUUAAAUAAACUGUUAGCCUUCAAAGUUAAAAUUAUAUAAGCUUAUAUAAGCCUUA